ACUCAAAGGAAUUGACGGGGCCCCGCACAAGCAGCGGAGCGUGUGGUUUAAUUCGAGGCUACGCGAAGAACCUUACCUGGGUUUGACAUCCGGCGCAAGCGUAUGAAAGUACGUGUUCCGCAAGGACGCCGAGACAGGUGCUGCAUGGCUGUCGUCAGCUCGUGUCGUGAGAUGUUCGGUUAAGUCCGAAAACGAGCGCAACCCCCGGGUCUAGUUACACGUGUCUAGACCGACUGCCUGCGACAAGUGGGAGGAAGGUGGGGAUGACGUCAAGUCAGCAUGGCCUUUACAUCCAGGGCCACACACACGCUACAAUGGCGCGUACAAUGGGAAGCAAGAGCGCGAGCUGGAGCCAAUCCUGAAAGCGCGUCGUAGUUCGGAUUGCAGGCUGCAACCCGCCUGCAUGAAGCUGGAGUUGCUAGUAAACGUGGGUCAGCACACCACGUUGAAUACGUUCUCGGGGCUUGCACACACCGCCCGU
rnacentral:rRNA from 1 species